ACGGCCAUAUCACGUUCAGACACCGGUUUCCGCACGAUCACUGAAGUUAAGCAACGUCGAGCCUGGUUAGUAUCUAGAUGGGUGACCGUUUGGGAAUUCUAGGUUCUGUAAG
rnacentral:rRNA from 1 species